rnacentral:rRNA from 1 species
GAUCCUGGCUUAGGAUGAACGCUGGCGGCGUGCUUAACACAUGCAAGUCGAACGGAGUUUUAAACGAAGUUUCGGAUGGAAGUUAGAACUAGUGGCGGACGGGUGAGUAACGCGUGGGUAACCUGCCUCAUACAGGGGGAUAACAGUUAGAAAUGACUGCUAACACCGCAUAAUAUAGCGAAACCGCAUGAUUUUUGCUAUCAAAUAUUUAUAGGUAUGAGAUGGGCCCGCGUCUGAUUAGCUAGUUGGUGGGGUAAAAGCCUACCAAGGCGACGAUCAGUAGCCGGCUUGAGAGAGUGACCGGCCACAUUGGGACUGAGACACGGCCCAAACUCCUACGGGAGGCAGCAGUGGGGAAUAUUGGACAAUGGGGGAAACCCUGAUCCAGCGACGCCCGCGUGAGUGAAGAAGUAUUUCGGUAUGUAAAGCUCUAUCAGCAGGGAAGAUAAUGACAGUACCUGACUAAGAAGCCCCGGCUAACUACGUGCCAGCAGCAGC